UGUACCGUCGGUAUAAAUAUC
rnacentral:piRNA from 1 species